AAAACAGCAACGCAACAUCUCUGCUGCUGAAGGGGCAGACGUCGAUAAGCCCCAGAAGAGAAGACUGAAGUUCCAGCGCAAGUUUCCAUGGCUGAAACUUGUCAAGUCGAGAGCGAAGGAGAGCUCUGACGAAGACGGAGGGUUGUCAGGUGACUGCAGGGACUCUGGAGACAGCAAUGCACUCUCGAGCGGCCAGAGUCCCAGCCUCUCCGUUGUCAACUCGGAGUCACUGACAUCUAGCACCUCCUCGAC